rnacentral:lncRNA from 1 species
AACAUAUGAAUAUUUAGAUCGAAGACCAUAAUUGACCUCAAGUUUAAGUUAGAAAGAUCAAGUGAGGAGUACCUUUCUCCUUGACUAUGAAUGACAUGUCUGAUACAUAAAGAGGAUAUGGAGUGGCUUUUUGGAUCAUAAAUGUCAAAGAAGUUUACCUCCAAUGCCUUUUGUAUUGCAAGAUCAUGGAGUAAAUCAUGAACCCUACACUCAGUAACUUUUUCCCAAAAUGUUCGUGCCACUUGAACCAAGCUUCGUCUUAUCAGCUCAUUCAAGAAGCCUUCAGCGACAUCCUCCAUUCUUUCUUCUCCUCUGGGUAUGAAACCCUCUGCCAUCCACAACCAUAUUAUGUUAUCAGCCUUGACCGCUUGAUCUUCUGGAAAAAUACCAAAGUAGAGAAAACACUGCUUGAGCGCAGUUGACAAAUCAUUGUAGCUUAAGGAUAGUAUAUUAGAGAUUUCAAUAGAUUUAUCUUCUUUAAUGUUCUUCCAAAGGUGAUCUUUCACCUUUUGCCAUUCGUUUUGCCCCUUUUUAUGCGAAAGUAGUCCGCUCAAUACAACAAUUGCAAGAGGUAAGCCUCUACACUUUUCCACCAUAUCCUUAGCUAGACUUUCCAUUGCUGGAACCAUUGCUCGAACAUCAAGUAGUUUCCUUACAAAAGAGAUCCCAACUUUCUUCUUGGCUUAGGAAACGAAGUUUAUGAACAAAACCUCUUUUGUCUGCUCUUUCAGCGACAUCCUCUUUGCGCGUGGUAAUAAUGACUCUGCUGCCAUUCUUGCUAUCCGGGAAUGCUCUUUUCAAACUCUCCCAUGCUUCUUUCUGCCAGACAUCAUCAACCACCACAAGGUAUUUACGUUCUUUCAAUAGAUCACGAAGGUGAACUUCUAGAUCUCCUUCUGUCAUAGUUUCCAACAAUCCUAGAGUUCCCUUGGUGCGACCUUGGAUGGAUUUUAUGAUAGUCUUAAGAAGAUCCAUUGUGUUGUACUCUUGAGAAACACAUAUCCAAGCGCGUGUAGGGAAGCUUGAGACUAUAUUGGGACUGUUGUAGAGGUUUCUCGCAAGAGUAGUCUUGCCCAAUCCGCCCAUGCCAUGAAUGGAGAGGACGUUUCGACGAGGCUCUGCUUUGAGAAGUUGAGCUAGCAAUGUUUGUACAACAUCCUGAAAGCCAACAAAAAUGUGAUCCUCAUCGACAUAUGAGGUUGUUCUCCUCAAUGUUCUAACUUGAUUGCUUGGCCCUUCUCCAGCAUUAUUAUUGAUAUUUGUAAUACCAUAUGUCUCUCGCCUGCGAGAAAUAUCUAUGAUUCGCUGCUUGAGUGAUUGAAUCUCCUCUGCGACAUUGUAGAAUUUCUUCUCCUUCCUACAUAUGCAAGCGCAAGCCUUGAGACGACUAGCACCUUUACCAGCCUCGAAACUGUAUGUCUCGAGUAUAGCGACAGCAUCAUUCGCAACAGAAUUGAUUUCAAACACCCAUUGUUGAACUCUAUGAUCUCCACUUUGCUUUAGUUCUGCAUCUCUGAGGAAAGACUGUAUGAAGAGUAGCUCAGUUUUCAGCCAUCUAAUUUCAUCUCUGAGAUUUGUUCUCAGUGAAACUUGUUGUAUUAGGAAAUCACCCAAUAUUUGAACUGCAAAUGACACAAAGGCAUCAGCCAUCUUUAGGAAUAUGGAAAUUAAUAUUUUUUGUAAAAGGUAAACUGUGUAUGGAAUUAAUAUUGAGAGUUUGAUAACUGAUGAAUAAUGUUAUAAUGGAAUUCAGUAUUUAAAGCUUUAAAAAUCCGACAGAGGAAAAAGUCUAAAAGUAGAAAGAUGAUAGAUUUGAGGUUAAUGGUAAAGAAAAGUAUAUAUUUUCUACUAACUGCAAGCUAAGAAUUUAAAAUUGCAUGACACAAGUUAUGCUCUAAGCCAUAACUUCAAUGUAGUAGCGAAGCCAAAAGUUUCGCUAAUGAUGUUCAGAAUUUAAUAUAUAUGUAUGAAAAAUAAUUUUUGACUUAUAUAUUUUAUACAAUUUUCUAUAUAUAGAUAAUAUAAUUUUUCAACGAAGGGUGUCCGACUGGACACUCUGAGCUAUAUGUGUCACAAGUUGUGUUUUAAGACAAGAAAUUAUGUCCCAAGGCACAAGUCCCCUAGGGCAAACAACAACCACAACAACAUACACAAUGAAAUUUUACAAGUGGGGUUUGGAGAGGGCAAAAUGUUUGCAGACUGUACCAUUACCUCGUGCAGAUAGAAGGUUUGUUUGAGAAAGACAAACAUUAUUUUAAAAGUUCUGUCCAGUGAAUUGUUUCCCGUUUAUAUACCAAGCAACUCUAAUCAGAUAAAUUCUUCUCAUAUAGUUCAAUGACUAAUAGAUCCUCACUAAUGUGUUUAGAAUGAGUUCACAAAGUUUUGAUCCAAGAAGCAACAAUAACAUGCAUAUCAAAAUCAAAAUUGUUACUUCAAUUCAAUCGAUUUAUAAGUUCAUAAUAAAGUUAUAUCUAACAUCCACUAAAUUACACAUAAAUUAAGUUAAAAUACAUUAAAGUUGAAUGUAGUGAUAAAAAUUCAUGCCAUUGAUAUUCAAGGAGUAUUUAGUAUGCAUGACUUAACAGCGAUUGUAAUCUGUCAUCAUUAUUAAGCAUCAAGACAAUAACUUGUGGCGAUAUUCUAGAAAUUAUUCUAUGAUUUAGAAAAUAAAAAAUACUACUAGAGUGGUUUUUAAAAAAGUUUUAAAUUUUUUUCUUAUAAUUUAUCCAAAUCAAAACAAUAUCCUUCUUAAUUCAUCAAUCCAAAACAAACUUAAAAAAUAAGAUACAAUAAAUACAAAAAACUAUUAGGUUUUAAAAAAAAAAAAAAAUCAAAUAAAAUUGGGGUUCUUUUGACUUGGAUAAGUUAUGGAAAAUCUAGAAGAGGUGGGGUUUUUAUUUCAUCCAAUAAAAAAAUGACACAUAAUAAAUAUUUUAAAAAAACAAAAUUAAGCGAGGUUAGUUAGUUUUAAGAGUAUAUGUGAGCCAAAAAGGUAAAUGGAAGGGUAUCUUUAGACCAAAAUAUGAGUAGAAGGAUAAUUUUAGACACAAAGAUGGAUGAAGAGUAUUUUUAAACCUUUUCUUAUAGUUCAGGGAUAUUUUUGGCCCUUUUCCGUUAAAUAAUAGAUACCUUUCUUUUCUUUUUAAGUUUCCUUGUUUGGGGAAUCUAUAGGAAGAAAUGAUGAGCAUGACUUCUCAAUUUUUCGAAGAUGCAUUUUGUAACUUUGAAGAGAUGAAAGUAAAAUAUUCGAAUUCAGCCUCGGAGGUUAUUCCAUAAAGAUUUUGUAUUAUCUUGAAGGUCAACUUUUCAAAAUUGAUUUGCUAAAAACGAAUUUUGUUUUAAAUUGUUGAUUUCUCAAAAGAACUGGAACGUCAAGAAGACUAAUAAUAUAAAAUUUGAGAUUAUUCGGGAAAAAUUUGAAUUUUUCCAUAUCGAGAGUUCAAACUCGAGAUCUGGGAGGAACAUUGUUAAGAAUUCAUCACCAACUUAAUUCUUUACUUAAGAUAAAUCAAGAAAAAUCUAGAAUAUUCCGGAGGUGUAAAGAAUUGAAGGAAGAUCUCUAGAAUGAGUAUUCUAGAAAGAAUAGUCUAGAAAUGUUCUAGAAAGAAUAGUUCUAGAAAAAGAUAGUUAGAAAUAUUCUAGAAUAGAGUAGUAUGUAUCUCUCUAGAUUCUUCCAUCACCUCCUAUAAAUAGAGGUGGUCCAUUUGAGUUGUAUGCAACUAAGCAACUAAGAAAGAAAGCAAUCAAGAAACCAAGCAAAAAAAAAGAGUAAGAAAUAAGAGAGCAAACAAGAGUGAGUGCUCAAGUAAAGAGUGUUGCUGAAGCAAGCAACAAGUGUGAUCAAGAUUGUAAGACCGAAGCUGGUCCUUACUUUGAUAUAAUAAAAUUCAAGUUGUGAGAAAUCGAUAGUGCCCGUCGUCUCCAAAACAAUAAUAUUCAACAAACAUAUCCUUUGGUGGUAUUGUAGUUUUAUUUAGUUUGAUAUGAAUGUUGUGUAUAAUGUUGUUGUAGUUGUAUUAGAUUUUCAGUAACUAGCAUGAGCUUCAUACAAAGUUUGUAUAAUAAUUAUAUACAUAUUUCAUACCAAAAUUCUCCUAUACGUUUCAUAAAUAUGAAUGUUAUUUUCUAUAAUAUAUACUCUGAGAAGCAAUAGACAUAAAAGUAAGAACAAAUAAUGUGUUGAAAGGUCCACUUAUCACUUGUGUGAUUAACGUUCAGAAAAAAACGAAACAUGACCACGUGGUUUCUGAAAAUAAAGAGAAUUACGAUUAGACAAACAAUUUUCAUUUCAUGUUGGGAUAAGACACAAGUAUCCCCUAGACUAUGACCGAAAUUCCAAAGACACAACUUAACUAAUUUAAGGUCCUAUUACCCCCUAAACGCAUUUUUUGUAUAAUUUUAUACACCUUUUGGCUUACGUGGCACACUCCGUGACUCCACCGAGUUUGCUCGAUUCCGAGUUCGUAUGAGUGAGUUGUGCCCUUUGGAAGUUGGGCUGUUAGCAUAGGAAAGUUCACCCGAAUUUGUAAGGGUAUUUUGGUCUUUUCCCUAACCAUUUCUUUUGGAUAUAUUAAGGGUCCCAACUGAUUUUAAAUCAGUAUUUCCUUUUUAAAAGUGAGUGUUAGGGUUGUGAGUGAAGAGAGAAAGAAGAGGAGAAAGAGAAGGAAGCUAAGUUCGUCGAGAUCGUCGUGGAUUUCGUCGGGGUGAUCCCUAUUAAGGUAUGUGAGAUCAUAGUGUUGGGUUGGUUCAUUCCCCCACACGCCAAACUCGUUUUACUUUUCGAGAAAAAGAUUGGUUGUGUUUGUUGAAUUCUUGUGGUUGUGUUGAAGUUUCUUGUUGAUUUGGUACAUGUUUCCGGAUGGAAUUCCGAGUUGAAUCUAUUGUAUAUUAAGGGUUUUAAUGAUCCCAAGUGUUUGGGGAAAGAACCUUUGAAGUUAAGAGGGUUUAGAGUUGGAAAAAUGAAGGAGAAGAGUCGGGCAGCUUCCAUGAAACCAGUCCGCGUCACGGACUUGUUCCCUCUGUGAACAAAAAUCUGCUCCGCGUCGCGGACAGGAUGCGGACUCCACUGUUUCAAAAAUUUAUUUUCGUAACUCUUCUUAAGUUUAGCUGUCCUAAAUCAUUCCUAAACAUCAAGAGACCUUUCCUAUCACAAUCAUGAACCUUGAAUCCAUAAUCCAAUUCAAGGAAAAGGUUAGGAUCAAAGUCAAGUGAAGUUAUGAAGCAAGUCAAAGUAAGUUUUUAAAGUUUUCUUCAAGAGACUUUACUAAACGUCUAAACUUCGUUUUAAGACUCAAGUUUCAAGCAAAGUAAAGAGUAUAUGAGUUCUUUUUCUCAAGAGUUACUAGGGAACUACGUAUUCCCCAAAGAAGUUUAUAAAUGUUUUUACAUUUGAGUAAGAAAGGAACUAUGUUUUCCAAGAGAGCCUUUGGGCUAAGCUUUGAGUAAUUAUCUCAAAAUAAAGAAAGAUUUGUUUAAAACACUUAUGAGCUAAAGUAUNNNNNNNNNNNNNNNNNNNNNNNNNNNNNNNNNNNNNNNNNNNNNNNNNNNNNNNNNNNNNNNNNNNNNNNNNNNNNNNNNNNNNNNNNNNNNNNNNNNNNNNNNNNNNNNNNNNNNNNNNNNNNNNNNNNNNNNNNNNNNNNNNNNNNNNNNNNNNNNNNNNNNNNNNNNNNNNNNNNNNNNNNNNNNNNNNNNNNNNNNNNNNNNNNNNNNNNNNNNNNNNNNNNNNNNNNNNNNNNNNNNNNNNNNNNNNNNNNNNNNNNNNNNNNNUAUAUAUUGAGUUCAGUUAUUCAUGAGUUGAACAGAGCCAAGGUAAGAGUUCCUUUGUACUCCUUUCAAGCUUAAGUUGUUGUUUAGCUUUCUAGCUCACAUACUCGUAUAUUCCAUGUACUGAUGCCAGUUGGCCUGCAUCGUUUUAUGAUGCAGACGCAGGUACCCAGGAUCAACAUCCAGCACGCCGUUGAUCCAGCUGAGCACUCCAGAGUCAGUGGUGAGCCUCCUUGCCUUCCGGAGGACUCUGUUCUUUUAUGUUCCUAGUUUUGCUUUAUUAGGAUGUUGUGGGGUCUAUCCUAACAUCCAUCUCAGUGUUUUAGAGGCUUCAUAGACAGUCAGUCAGUUAGUAUUGAGUCUCUCAACUAUUUAUAUAUAUAAAUAUUCUAUUUUGAGACACGAGUUGCCUUUUGGCCAGUUUUUAUCAGUUGGGUUGUUUUAUGACCUUUCAUUGCAUUAAGUUAUUCUAUUGAGUUAGGUUUCCGCUGAGUUAAGAAAGCCAGGCCAAGGGUUCGCUUGGGGCUAGCAAUGGUCUUCGAGUGCUAGUCCCGCCCAGGGUGUAGGCUCGGGGCGUGACAGAAUCUCAACGAAUCGUAGCAACAAAAGAUACAUAGACUUUAAUUUAUUAGCUAAAGGAAUAUUGUUCGUACCUCAUGGAACAAUCUAGGGGUGUACAAAAUCGAACCGAAAACCGAAUCCAACCUCAAAUCGAGUCAAACCGAAAAAAAACCCCAUUAGUGUUUUGGUUUGACUUGGUUUGGUAUUGAAAAAAAUAACCCAACUUUAUUUGGGUUGGUUUGGUUUUAACUAAAAAGAACCAACCCAAGACCAAACCAACCCGACAUUAUAUAUAUAAUUUUAAAAUUUUAUUUUAUACAUAAAAAUAUUUACUUUGAUAUCAUUUUUAAAUAUUUCUUAUACUCUUUUAAUAUAUUAUUUCAAGUUUGAAACUUAGAAUUCUGAAUGAUUCAAUAAAGAUUAUAGUCCACAGAUGUUGGUAAUUAUAAUAAAGGUUAAAUCAAAAUCAAAUUAAUACUAAUGCAAAAAGAAAAUCAAUUCAACACUAAGAAUGACAAUAUAUAAUAUUGAAUAUUUAUUCUUUAGUUUUACGUUGGUUUAGACAAUUAAAAUACAUAAUCUAAUUUUAAUUUCCUUUAAUAUUUAGUCAUGUAACUAAUACUUAUUUUAACAUGAUUUAGUACUUUUAAAUUAUGAUCAUUUUCACCAUGACUUGUUAAUUUGCAAUAUUUGUUUUACGCAAUUUUAUUAUUACGUAUAUUUUUUUUGUUGGAUAUUUUAGUGUCAUUAAUCAUAUCAUAUUUUGUGUUAUUUUUUAAGAAACACCUUAGAUAGUUGUAUUUUAGUAGGACUAAAUAAAUAUUUGAAGUACAAGUAAAUUUUAUGUUUGUAUGAAUACUUUACCGAAAAAACCCGAGGUUGAAAAACCCGAGUUUUAUUGGUUUGGUUUGGUUUUAUAAAUUUAAAAAUCCGAUACAAAUGGUUUGGUUUGAUAUUUGAAAAACCCGAACCAACCCGGCUAUGUACACCCCUAGAACAAUAUUCAACAAAUUCGAGUUGACCUCCAAUACUACCAUCACAAGUAGUCAUCAAAUAUCCUCUUGCAAGCCUAACACAAGUAUCACAAUCUGAAUAUUGUACAUUUGAACCACAAGUAACAUGACCAUAAGCUAAAGCAUCAUCAUUAGGAUAAGGAGAUGUUAUGUAAUAAUCAUAACCUUGUUUUGGUGUCUCAUUACUUAAUUCUAUAAGAACAUAUAUAAGACAAACUAUCUGAAAAUGGACCAUUUUUGUCAUACAUUUCACCGUUGCAUGUAUGGUACCCAAUAAUUUAGACUCUGGAAAUUCACUUCUCACAAAAUAAUUAAAGUAACCCAUGACUAAAAUUAUAAUUAGGAAUGUGGUUAACACUCUAAUUCUCAAAAUUGAACUCAUAGAUAUAUGUAUAUAUUUUCUAUUACAUUUGUGUUACAAAUAAUUGAGUUUAGUACUUUAAUGUCCUUUUUUGUUUAAAUAGAUUUAUCCAUCCUUUGAUUUCUCCACCAAUGAAAAUUAAGUAUUCCAUAAUUUAUAUUUUAUAAAUUAUGUAUGUUGCCGGCAAAUAAACCAUUACUAUUUCUUUGCUUUGAUAUUAUAAAUCAUAAUGCUUGGUAUAAUUCUUGCAAAGAGAGGAAUAUUCAUCAUACAAAGAAAGAUCCAUUAAAAGCAAUUGAUGAUUAAUAAUACUGAUCAUGCAAUGUUAUUAUUAUUAUUGAAUUAUUUGGAUUUCUACUCAUAUAGAAUUAUUGGGUUUUAAAAUUAACAAUUUAUAUGUAUUAUAUAGGAUUUAGAUCAAAGCAACUGAAUUCAGCUGAAUCAAUAACUGAAAAACUAGCUCCACCCUUACUAGUUGCUUCAGGUACUCUAUAGUGAUUAUUGUGCAUUUGUUUUACAAUUUGAUUGUUUUUGUUAUUUAGUUUCGAUCAUUUGAUUUUCGAUUUUCAAACAUGAUUGCUCAACGUGAUUAUUGUUCCCUUCGUCCUAAUUUAUAUGAAAGUAUAAAUUAUAGUUUGACUCUAAAAAAGGAAAUCAUGACAAUUAAAAGUGAACGGAGGGAGUAGUAUAUAUUAUCUUCCUUCUUUUUUUUUGUUAAAGUUGUUAUAAAAACUCGUUCAUGGGUUAUGUUUGGAUGGUUAAAUUUCGAAUCCAAAGUUAAAAAAAACAUCACUUUUUCCCUUCAAAAUACAUAAAGGGCCAUUCAAAUUUUAGUUUAAUCAAAAAGGGACACUUCGCUAGAGAAGGAGCGAGAUAUGUUGGUGCUAUAACUACCGUUAACGAAAUAAAAAAAUUGAUCAUCUCGCUAACUUAUGAGCAAUUUUCCUCUUUUAUUUUAUCUUUUUUCUCGCUACUUAUGAGUGAUUUGCUCUCUAUUUUUUUCCCCCAAAUAUCGUUCUACACUAAGCGAAUUUGUAAGUUUUUUUUUUUGUUAUUCUCGUUGCACACUGAGCGAGUUCUCAACUUCUUUUAUUAUAUGCCCUCAUAGUAACCCCAUCAUUAAUUUUUAUUUAGAUAACGAUAAAAACUUUCUAAUAAAAUAGAAAACAUUUUUAUUUCUUAAUAUUUUUUAUAAAUUGAAGUAGGAUAAACAUUUUUCCAAUGAAAAAAUCAUUAUUAGAAAAAGAAUGUGUUUUAAAAAAAACAGAAAUAAUAUAUCAUUUUUGACCUAUUAAGUACAACAAUAAGUGCAUUUUUAGACCAAACUAGUGAAGACAAUCAUAUUUUUUUAACCCCUUUUCUGUUAACUAGUUUUACGGAACGUGCGUUGCACGUUUAACUCAAAGUACAUAAUACAAAUCUUAUAUUGCAAAUGAUAUAGUUAAAUAAUAUAUAUUUUAUUUCACUUUUUCAGUACAAUAAAAUAAAAAUCAAAACAUAUAAAAAAAGUAACAACUCAUAAGUUAAAGGCUAAAAAAUCUUACAAACAUGAUACAUAUUUUAGUGACAUAUAACACCUUAAUUUAAAUACUCAUUGAAUAGACAAUAAGAAAUAAACUGAUGCGCAUAUAUUGAAUCCCAUCAUGAUCAAUCCAAAUACACAAAAAUCUUAUAAAAUUUGCUUCGGCUCAACCACAUGUACAUUAAAAAGUAAGAAAGUAGAAAAGGGAGAUAAUUGUAUAUUAAUUAGUAUAGCGACAUAAACCUAAAAAUAUGAUAACAUUAAGUUAUCAAUUAAUAUACUUUGUUAAUUAAGUACCUGAAACUAAAAUUAGUGGAGAAGAAGAAAUUAACUAAAUAAGAAGAGCUUGUGCAGACUGUAGUGAGAAAAAGAUCAUAACUCAUAAGCACAAAUAGAGAUCUUUAAUAAGAACAAUGAAAAUUGAAAUGCAAAUGAUGAAUCAGUUGGAAGGGAAUAGAAACUUAAGAGAUAUUUAUAUAUUAAUAUAUGUGAAGACUCCUUCAAAACUUUCAAUAUUAUAUUAUUAAUAUUUGGGAGUUAAUAGACUUAUUUAAUAGUGUUUUAUAAUUAGUUCAUGUAAUUAGAGGAAGAUGAAAAAACUUUCUUGAAAGUAACAAUUUUUUAUUUUUAUAUUUGGUGGAGAAACUGUCUUCUCCUUUAUUUGAGUAAAUAAAUAGGUGAGCAUUUAAGCAGUUUUCAGUUUUUUCCCCUUCAUUACACAUAUAUGUUAGUAAUUUAAUUAGGUGUUUAUGCUUUCUAAUCAUGGACAAAAAUGUUACUUCAUUUUACGUGAGAAUUACAAUAGUUUUUGUUUCUUCUUCUUCUUCACAUGUUUUUUUAGUCAUUUAAUAUGAAAUUUAUUUUUUCUAAUCAUGGAUAAAAAUGCUACUUAACUUUACAGAAUAUUUUCAUAAAUUAACUGUUCUCUCUUUUUUUUUCUUUUUUUUAAUAUAGCAAUUUAAUUUGAUAAUGACUUACGAAAUUGAGAAGUCUAUUAAACACAAAUGGACAUGAGACUCUUUAGCUUAUAAGGGGGAAAAAAACAGAUGUGUUAAAAUCCAUUCCAAUUCACAACUGAAGUCAUAACCAUCAUUUAAUAGAAUCUCAACUUUAAUGUCUAAAUACACUCAAGGUGCGUUAGUCCUGCAAAUUGGUCUAGUAAUAAGAUUAGGACAUUAAAUGUAUAUAAUAAUAAUAAUAAUAACAACAACAACAACAUGAUAAGAUUAUUAUUUAAUAUUUAAUAAAUUAGAUAUUUUAUAACAUUUUUAUUUAGAAAUAAGGGGAAGAUGGGGUAUAUGAUUAAUAGUAGAUCCCUUAAUAGUAUUAUUGUAGUAAUUCAACUUUAUAAGGUUAUUUUGGUAUUUCAACUUUCAACUUUUUUUGUUCUCACUUUUAGUAAUAUAAUAAUAAUAAUAAUAAUAAUAAUAUAUGAAUGAUAUGAUGAUGAUAUAUACAUUGUUUUAUCUAUCAUAACUUUUCAAAAUUUUCCAUUGAGAAUUAUGAUCAUGAUUUAAAACAAUAUCAAUGUACUCAUUUAUCAAGAAAAUAACAAUUUAAUUAUUAAAUGGCUUAAGGACUUAAAUUCUACCAUUAUGUAACUAAAUUAUUUGUAUUUAAUUAAAUAAUUAAUCCAAUUUUUAUUUAGUAAAAGGGCAAAAUGGUAAUUCAACUUUUCACUUUGAAGCUUCCCACUUAUAAUAAUAUAUGAUUAAAUCAUCACAAAAUCCCCCAAAUCAAGCAUUCAAAAACCAAAAAACAUUCAAAUAGGUUUCUAUUAUCAAAUAAAACCUUGCAUAUGGUUGUAAAGAUCCACCCAAUUUAAUUUCUCUUCAACAUAUUUCAUUCUCUCUGGAAUCUCCUUCAGCUUUGAACAGUGACCGAUAGCAAGUCUUUUAAUGAGAGGCAUGGCACUUGUGGCUAAAUGGCACAUUAUUUCUUUUCCAUUAUAAGCCUCUUCUAAUAUGAGAUCUCUUAGAUUUGGCAACAUUCCCAAAGUAGGCAUCGAAUCAUGGCAUCGAAUCUUCCAUGAGUUUUGACUUCCAAAGAACCAUCAUAGUGAUGGAAUUUGGAAACAGAGGCAGUUUCUCUAUUCUCCCUUUUAACAACAAUUUCUGGACCUUUUGACAAGAACUAAGAAAUUCAAGGGAUGAGAAUGAUUUAUCCAAUUUACAAAACAAUCUGAGACUACUAAGGUUUUUCAAGCUGCUAAUGUUGUUCAGGGAGUAAGAUUUGGUAAUUCGAUGCAUGCUUAAUUCUCGAAGAUUGACUAAAUCAACAGGGUCAACAUCUUUCCACUGAUCACAACGAACGUCUUUAAGAACUUCCAAACUAAUGAGUUUGCUUAUACGUUUCAGAGGUUUUGAAUAUGAAGCAACUAAAUGUCUUAGAUUUAUCAGGUGGGUAGUUCGCAAGAGUAUUCCCCCUCAUUGACAACAAGUGUCUGUAGAUUCUUCAGGUUGCCAAUGGAAGAGGGAACAUCACGGAUACCUCUCAAUAUUAGCAACUUAAGGUGGUACAAACUUCCAAUGGCAUCAGGUAUUAUAGACACAGCACGCAUAUCCAAGUACAACACAUAGAGAUGUUGGAACACACUACUGAACUUCAUAAGACUCAUAUUAUGAAAAUCUGGAUCAGAGAACAUAAUUGACCUCAACUUCAAGUUAGAAAGAUCAAGUGAGAGGUACCUUUCUCCUUCACUAUGAAUGACAUGUCUGAUACAUAAGGAGGAUAUCGAGUGCUUUCUUGGAUCAUAAAAGUCAAAGAAGUUUACCUCCAAUGCCUUUUGUAUCGCAAGAUCACGGAGUAAAUCAUGAACCCUACAGUCAGUAACUUUUUCCCAAAGUGUUUUAGCCACUUGAACCAAGCUUCGUCUUAUCAGCUCAUUCAAGAAGCCUUCAGCGACAUCCUCCAUCCACAACCGUAUUAUGUUAUCAGCCUCAAGCACUUGAUCUUCUGGAAAAAUACCAAAGUAGAGAAAACACUGCUUGAGCGCAGUUGACAAAUCAUUGUAGCUUAAUGAUAGUAUGUUAGAUAUUUCAAUAAAUUUAUCUUCUUUAAUGUUCUUCCACCUUUUGCCAUUCGUUUAGCCCCUUUUUAUGCGAAAGUAGUCCGCUCAAUACAACAAUUGCAAGAGGUAAGCCUCUACACUUUUCCACCAUAUCCUUAGCUAGACUUUCCAUUUCUGGAACCAUUGCUCCAACAUCAAGCAGUUUCCUACAAAAGAGAUCCCAACUUUCUUCUUGACUUAGGAAACGAAGUUUAUGAACAAAACNNNNN